GCUCAGUAACACGUAGUCAACAUGCCCAGGGGACGUGGAUAACCUCGGGAAACUGAGGAUAAACCACGGUAGGCCAUGAUUUCUGGAAUGGUUCAUGGCCGAAAUCUAUAUGGCCCCUGGAUUGGACUGCGGCCGAUCAGGCUGUUGGUGAGGUAAUGGCCCACCAAACCUGUAACCGGUACGGGCUCUGAGAGGAGGAGCCCGGAGAUGGGCACUGAGACAAGGGCCCAGGCCCUAUGGGGCGCAGCAGGCGCGAAAUCUCUGCAAUAGGCGAAAGCUUGACAGGGUUACUCUGAGUGAUUCCCGCUAAGGGGAUCUUUUGGCACCUUUAAAAAUGGUGCAGAAUAAGGGGUGGGCAAGUCUGGUGUCAGCCGCCGCGGUAAUACCAGCACCCCGAGUGGUCGGGACGAUUAUUGGGCCUAAAGCAUCCGUAGCCGGUACUGCAAGUCUUCCGUUAAAUCCACCUGCUUAACAGUUGGGCUGCGGGGGAUACUACAGCGCUAGGAGGCGGGAGAGGCAAGCGGUACUCAAUGGGUAGGGGUAAAAUCCGCUGAUCCAUUGAAGACCACCAGUGGCGAAGGCGGCUUGCCAGAACGCGCUCGACGGUGAGGGAUGAAAGCUGGGGGAGCAAACCGGAUUAGAUACCCGGGUAGUCCCAGCUGUAAACGAUGCAGACUCGGUGAUGGGCUGGCCUUGUGCCAGCCCAGUGCCGCAGGGAAGCCGUUAAGUCUGCCGCCUGGGGAGUACGGUCGCAAGACUGAAACUAAAGGAAUGGCGGGGGAGCACCA
rnacentral:rRNA from 1 species